rnacentral:lncRNA from 1 species
CUUAUUAACUAAUUUUCUAUUUUACCUUCCUUUCUGUUCUAGGUAAUAGGUGUUAUAGGAAGAGCUGAACUUUUAUCAUCAAUCUUUUUUCUAAUUGCAUUUUUCUCAUAAACAGAAUCUAAAGAUCUGAAUAAUAUCCUAAGUUUGAUAAUCCAGCAGCUGUAAAUCCAAUUCCCACAAGUGUGCUUUAAAAAAGCUGUCCUGGCUUUGUCUAUCUAUAUAUAUCAUCUUGCAGUGAUCUAUAAGGCAAGAUCAUUCUUAAAAAUGCUUCACAGAAACUGGGACUAGGAAUCUGAAUAUACCUUGUUUAUGUUUAUCUUAAAGGUAAAUAAAAAUACCAAACUGCAAUAAUGUGGGUCAUGUUUUGGAAAAUGAAAAGAAUUUUGAGAGUCUUAAAAUACUUCCUAACAAACAACACAUGUUCAGCCAGGUAA